rnacentral:rRNA from 1 species
UACGGAGGAGGCAAGCGUUAUCCGGAAUUACUGGGCGUAAAGCGUGCGCAGGCGGUGAUGUAAGACAGAUGUGAAAUCCCCGGGCUCAACCUGGGAACUGCAUUUGUGACUGCAUCGCUGGAGUGCGGCAGAGGGGGAUGGAAUUCCGCGUGUAGCAGUGAAAUGCGUAGAUAUGCGGAGGAACACCGAUGGCGAAGGCAAUCCCCUGGGCCUGCACUGACGCUCAUGCACGAAAGCGUGGGGAGCAAACAGG